AGCUCCCGUCACUCUUGAUUGUGAACAUCCAGGUAUCCCCCUGCAUAUUGCAUGGAAAUCGGUAUAGCUUGAUUAUCAUGUGAUUCUAACAUUACAAGCUUUCUUUUUGUUUCAAUUACAGAUGCCUACUUAUCCUGCUUCUAUGUUCCUCGGUGACAGCGACGGAGAAGGCUUUAGCCUGGUCUUGUACUUCAGGAUAUCCGAAUACUAUGACAAAGAGGUUUCGGAACAUUUCAAGGAUUCUAUCAUGGUUAGCCUUUUCCAAUUCACAAUCUAUACUUCCCAAACAGAAGUAUUUUCUGGAAGCUAACAGAAUCUUUCUAUCAACAGAGAUUUUUUGAGAAUGAAUCUGAGAAGGUAAAAGGGUUCACAUCAGAAUCUACCAUCAUGUACAGAGAUCGAUUGAAAAUCAUGGCUGGAUUGGUUAACCCAGAUGACCUCCAGUUGGGUUCCACGGAGAGGAAGCUGGUCCAAGCAUACAAUGAGAAGCCAGUCCUUUCACGGCCCCAACAUAAUUUCUACGAGGUAAAGAGAUGUCCUUGUUUGAAUUGUAAAGUAACACACUCAAUGUUGUUAGGUGGUAAUCAGAUUGUAAAGGUACGUGGUAUUCUGAGAAACCACCAGUUAAUGUUUCAUCUCUUACGUCACCAGGGAGAGAAUUACUUUGAGGUAGACCUUGAUAUACACCGGUUCAGCUACAUCGCUAGGAAGGGACUGGACUCAUUUAGGGAACGCCUAAAGAAUGGCAUCCUCGAUUUGGGUUUGACAAUUCAGGUAAGUUUCCCUUUAGAUUCUCCACCAAAUAUGUAUCUAUCAAUCUUCUUCAGCUUCUUCUACUUAUUUGCGGACAACUUAUGUCCUUAAGUGUUUCUUUGGGUGUGAGCCAAAUUUCAGAUUCGUCAAAUGCUGUUUAACUUGUUAAUCAUAGGGUUCGCCAUUGUUUUGCAUAUGCAAUUUCCACAAAAAAGUACAUCAUAAGCAUGAAUAACUAACACAUAAGUAUGAAUAACUAACAUGGCAGUUUAUCUGGAAGUGCGCUUGAUACUGAAUCCAUCUUAAUUGUAAUUAAUUUAUUACCUUGCAGGCCCAGAAGCAAGAGGAGCUCCCUGAGCAGGUCCUCUGCUGCGUUAGGCUGAACAAGAUUGAAUUUGUUAACCAUGGGCAAGUUCCAACAAUAGUCACAGUUGAUGAAAAGUGACACAUUUGAUCAUAGCGAUUGCAUGUGCGAGCUGUUGGAAGGCUAGACCCAUUCCAAUUGGUAAGGAGAGAUGAGAAACAGGAAAAAAACUGAUGACCACACAUCUUAGUUUCUGCUUAAAGUGCUGGCCCUUCUGUCAGCUUUUAAGCAUGGAAGUUUUCCUGUAACCGUAAUAAUGUAUACACAAGCCAAUACGACCCGCUUCAGGUGUUGGUCAUGAUUCUAACCUUUUCCACCCGAGUUGCCGUUUACAACAUGUCACUUUCAGACGCAGAUAAACAUUAAACCUGACAAGAUUAAAUGGCCAUCAGACCGACAUGAACAUUCCAUGACAAGAUGCUGAGUUGCUGACAGAAAUCAUGAAUAGUCAAACCUAGUUUCUAAUAUAUAUUUCUGAGCCACUUGCCUGCUUACACUCCGAGCAGAUUGUAUGCAGUGAAACCAUGGAGGUCAACCAGCCAUAGCUUUCAGCCUCCAAGAAAUUGGCGGACGAAUUUAUCGUCAUCUGCAUGAAUGUGUAUAAGUUAGCCAGCGCUGCAAUUCGCAAUCACAUCGCUAUAUAUUGCAGCAUGGCCAUCAUACCAUGCUUGAGAGUAUCCAGGUGAGAGAAUGUGCAGAACAUUGAGCAGCACUGAGAGUACAGAAUCAGAAUGGCAAAAGCGAAGGGGGGCGUACCUCAUCCUAUUCACGGACCAGCAGCCUCCGCAACCCACCAGUGCAGACUAGCUAGUGCCCCGCGGGAGCCAUCAAUCACGAACACACCUGCAUGUUCCCCUCGGAGCGGCGGACCGCGCCGUGCCCGUGCUCUUGACAAACGGGCGGGGGGAGCGAAUGCGCGGACGGACCUACGGCCCAGGGAGGCGUGCAGCAGACCAUGAGAGUAGAGGGCGCCGCCGCCGCAUGAGGGCGCUGGCAGACGUGUGUGUCCGGGUCGGUGAUGGCUGGCGAGGCGGAGGCCGCUGCCCCGGGGAGGCAUUUUGUCGAACGAAUGAGCGGAGGGAGGGCCGCGCCGGGCGAAAGGCUAGCAUGACGAUUGAGAUGUCUGAAGAUGCGG
rnacentral:lncRNA from 1 species